AUUGAACGCUGGCGGCAGGCUUAACACAUGCAAGUCGAGCGGAGCGAGGGUGCUUGCACCUUAGCUUAGCGGCGGACGGGUGAGUAAUGCUUAGGAAUCUGCCUAUUAGUGGGGGACAACAUUCCGAAAGGAAUGCUAAUACCGCAUACGCCCUACGGGGGAAAGCAGGGGAUCUUCGGACCUUGCGCUAAUAGAUGAGCCUAAGUCGGAUUGGCUAGUUGGGGGGGUAAAGGCCUACCAAGGCGACGAUCUGUAGCGGGUCUGAGAGGAUGAUCCGCCACACUGGGACUGAGACACGGCCCAGACUCCGACGGGAGGCAGCAGUGGGGAAUAUUGGACAAUGGGCGGAAGCCUGAUCCAGCCAUGCCGCGUGUGUGAAGAAGGCCUUUUGGUUGUAAAGCACUUUAAGCGAGGAGGAGGCUACUAGUAUUAAUACUACUGGAUAGUGGACGUUACUCGCAGAAUAAGCACCGGCUAACUCUGUGCCAGCAGCCGCGGUAAAAC
rnacentral:rRNA from 1 species